AAUCCAUACUGUGGGCACUUUCGCAACAGAUCCUUGAGUCAUUCUCAUAUCUCAAACAAGGACUCGAGCUCCAUCUGAACAAAAGAUGAUAUCUCAUUGCCAAGCUU